UGCACUGGGAGAACGGGGUGGGGCCUCCAGAAGUUCACGCCAUUUGCAGCGGGGAGGAGCCUGUUCCUGUGUGGCGACCUGGGCUUCAAUCUGUGAGGCGGGAAACCUGCUAGCAGGACUCUUGCUUUGUGGUCUCCUGUGAGAAGAACAUACCCCAGGUAGCCUCUUCUUUGAGAAGCACAAGGAAACACGUGGUGGUGGAACUGAACACAACCCACAGCCUGGAGCUAAACCCAACCUAAGCCAGCCAAGCUCUUCCAAGAUCACCCAAACUCAAGUUGACCUGUAGAUCCAUGGGCAAGGAAAGAAAUGCCUGCUGUUUUAAGAUCUCAAGUUUUAGGUUGAUUUGUUAUGCAGCAUUAUUGCAGUAAAAAUGAACUAAUACACUACCUAAUCCCAUUUUUCUAUUCAACAGUUAUUUGUUGGGUAGCUGAUAUGUGCCACACACUUAUAAUACAGGCUUCAGGGAUACCAUGGUUAAUAAAAUAAAGAGGGCAAAAGUAAAUGAACAAGAUAAUUUUGCAUUUUGACAAAUGCUAGGGAUAAGACAAGAUGAGUGAUGUGAUAAAUUGUGGUGGGGCUGUGGAAGAGGGCACAUUUAAUUUGGAUGGUCAGAGAGAGCCUCCUCUGGAAGGAAACAUUUGAAUGAGAUGAAUAACAAGGGCGAGGCUGCUAGAGGAUGAUCCAGCCACAGUGCAUUCCUGCAGAAGAGCCAGGGUGGAGGUCCUACGGUGGAAAUGAGUUUGGCUUAGGAACAGAUUCAAGUAUAUCUCAAAUAACUGAAAACUGUGAAAUUAACAUCAAAAGUAUUUGGAAGGCUAGAAGCUAGGCUGAUAUGUAGAAAUAAAACCCAGCCUCAGGAAGGAGCUGAGCCAGACUCAAAAACAAGGGGGGCAGCAAAGAGUGGUGGAUUCUGGGCUGGCCUUGCUGGCCACUCACUUGUCAGGGUGGGGUGGGUCAGCUGGCUUAAAUGUGCAGCUGGACAGACAGCUGCUGUUUCACUGCAUUGUCUCACUGCAUCUGUCUUCAUUAUCUGCAUCCUAUUUUGUGUUUCUUGGGCCAAUGUUUCCCAUCUCAGCUAGAGAUAUUUUACAUUGUUUUCACUGCAUGCAAAUAAUUUCACAAUUUUCUGUGGAAAGCCUUUGCUCCCUCCUUUCUUGUUUUUUUCCAAUUAUUUUAAUAGAAGUCGUGUGCAUACAUGGUUUAAAGAGUCAAAGAACUCUGUAAGGUUUAUUUUAAAAAACAGCCACUGUUAUGAGCAACACCCCCCUGCUGACAUUUCCCCAUUCCAGAGGCACUUUCAUCUUUUUUACAUGAUUGACAUUUCACCUUCCUGUCUCUAAAUAACAUACUUAAUACUACUUCUUGAUUUGCUAUUUUUAGGUAUUUUGUAUUGAUUUCCCUCAAUUGACUAGGAGGACUUAGCUUUCUUCCUUCUUGCUUCUUUUAUCAAACACCUUUCUAUUCUAUGCUAUCACCGUUCCCUCUUGGUAUAAUGUUAUGAUAAUUUUGCUGAGCUUAAUGUUUCAUUUGUAUUAUUAUGAUCACAUAAAUGCUUUUAAUAGCCAAACCAGAUGGUAAGAUGUAAUGAUAUUUCCUUUCUGUAGUAGGUGGCUUCUAAUAUGGUCCCCAGUGAUCUCUGAUGACUAGUAUUCAAGGCCUUGUGUAUUCCCCUCUCCUUGAGUGUGGACUGGGCUUAUUGACUUGCUUCUAACAAUUAGAAUACAGCGAAAACAAUGGAUGUCACUUCUAAGAUGGGGCUUCAUAAAGACCAGCUAUCAUUUUGGGCACUAUCUUUGGUUUGCUCACUCUUAGUGUGGUAGGUAGAGUUCUAAAGACAUCCCCCCAAAUUCUUACUCCUGGUUAUUCAGUCGAACACUAAUCUCAGUACUGCUAUGAAGGGAUUUUACAGAUGGAACUAAGGUUGUUCAUCAGCUGACCUUGAAAUGGAGGGAUUAUCUUGGAUCAUCCAGAUAGGCCCAAUGUAAUCACAUAUAUCCUUAGAAGCAGAAGAGCAAGGCAGGAGAAUAAGUCAGAAGAAGAAGGCAGGAGCAGGAGACAAGAGGCAGAAAGAGAGGUCAAAGAGAUCAGAAGUGUGAGAAAGCCUCAUUGGCUCAUUGGCUUUGCAGAUGAAGGGGGUUACCAGCCAGGGAAUGUGGGUGACUUCAGAAGCUGGACCCUGGUCAACAGCCAGCACGGACAUGAGGACCUCAGUCUUACAGCCAUGUGGAACUGAAAUCUACCAACCACCUGAAUGAGGCUGGAAGUGGAUUCUCCCCCGGAGCCUCCAGAUCAGAGCCCAGCCUGGCUGACAUUGAUUUCAGCCUUGUGAGAUUCAGAGCAGAGCCUCUGAGCUUACCUGGACUUCUGACCUAUGGAGCUGUGAGAUCAUAAGGGAGUGUUCUUUUAAGCUGCCAAAUUUUGGGGAAUCUGUUAUAGCAUCAGUAGAAAGCAAACACAUGUGGGAAGCCAGCUGUCAAGUUAUGAGCAUACAAAGGAAAUUGGGGAAGUGAUAACGUCAAGCAUUCAUCAUGAUAAGGCUUAUGUUAUUGAAUAAAA
rnacentral:lncRNA from 1 species